GCCGGGUGCGGUGGGGCACACUUGUAAUCCAAGUCACCGGGAUGCUGAGGCUGGAGGAUCGCUUGAGCUCAGGAGCUCUGAGCUGCAGGGAACUGUGUUGAUCGGGCGUCUGUGCUAAAUUCGGUAUCGAUAUGGUUGUACUGGGGGAGCCCGGGACCACCAGGUCGUCUAAGGAAGGUUGCACCAGCCCAGGUCAGAGACGGAGCAGGCACAAGCCCCUGUGCUGCUCAGUAGUGGGAUCGCGCCCGGUGUAGUGCAGCCUGAGCAACACAGAGAGACCCAGUCUCUU
rnacentral:SRP_RNA from 1 species